rnacentral:rRNA from 1 species
GAUGAACGCUGGCGGCGUGCCUAAUACAUGCAAGUCGAGCGAAGAGGGGACGGGGGAGUAAAACGUGGAUAAACGCCUAUAAGAAGGGGAUAAAUUAGGGAAACCGGAGCUAACACCGAUAAUGUGAGAAGGAGCGAGGUUGCAGUAGCUGGUGGGAAAGUUAACGGCUUACCAAGGCAACAGUGCAUAGCCGACCUGAGAGGGUGACCGGCCCCACUGCAACUGAGACACGGUCCAGACUCCUACGGGAGGCAGCAGUAGGGAAUCUUCCGCAAUGGGCGAAAGCCUGACGGAGCCACGCCGCGUGAGUGAUGAAGUUCUUCGGAUCGUAAAACCCUUUCAGUAGGGAAGCGGUACCUACUCAGAAAGCCACGGCUAACUCCGUGCCAGCAGCCGCGGUAAUAC